CUGUUUUUAUAGACAAAUUAUUUGCGCAGCAAAAUCUGAGUGCACUCUCCCGCCAUCACCCAAAACCUCGCAAUUUCUUGAUCAUCUGCUACAAUUAUAUACUUUAUUUUCUCGCUCUGAGUCGUUUUUGCAGCUAUGGACCUGCCUGUGAUCGAUCUGGCCCCAUUUUUGACGGCCUCGUCGGAACUCGCCGGCGACUCUCCGAUCGAGUUAGCGCCCCCACUCACCGCUCUGUGCGAGGAAGUGAGUCGGACUCUGAAAGAAACCGGCGCGCUCCUGGUCAAGGAUCCGAGAUGCUCGGUUGAGGACAACGAUCGAUUCAUUGAUAUGAUGGAAAAGUUUUUUGAGAAGCCGACUGAGUUCAAGCGUUUACAUGCGAGGCCUAAUUUGCAUUACCAGGUCGGGGUAACACCAGAAGGAGUGGAAGUUCCAAAAAGUCUGGUCGAUGAAGAAAUGCAGGAAAAGAUAAGAGCAAUGCCCAAGGAAUUCCAACCGUUACUUCCCAAGGGGCCGGAUUGCAAGUGGCGAUACAUGUGGAGAGUGGGUCCUCGCCCUUCAAACACCAGAUUUAAGGAACUUAAUGCUGAGCCGGUUAUCCCUGACGGUUUUCCUGAAUGGAAGGAUACCAUGGAUUCCUGGGGUUUCAAAAUGAUAUCAGCCAUAGAGGCUGUUGCUGAAAUGGCAGCAAUUGGGUUUGGCUUGCCCAGGGAUGCAUUCACUUCUCUGAUGAAGCAGGGACCUCAUCUUCUUGCUCCAACAGGAAGUGACCUUCAUAGUUAUGGUCAGGAGGGUACAGUCUUUGCUGGGUAUCAUUACGAUCUUAAUUUUCUGACAAUCCAUGGCAGAAGCAGAUUCCCAGGUCUAUAUAUUUGGCUUAGAAAUGGCCAAAAAGUUGAAGUCAAGGUUCCUAUCGGAUGUCUUCUCAUACAGACUGGAAAGCAGAUAGAAUGGCUGACUGCUGGUGACUGCAUAGCUGGCAUGCAUGAAGUAGUUGUCACAAAAAGGACAAUUGAUGCUAUAAAGAUUGCAUCAGAGCAAAAACGUAGUCUCUGGAGAGUCUCUUCGACUUUAUUUGCCCAUAUAGCAUCUGAUGCUGUCUUGAAGCCUCUUGGCCACUUUGCUGAAUCUCCACAUGCCAACAAGUAUCCAGUCAUCUUGGCAGGAGAAUAUGUUGAAAAAGAGCUUGCAGUAAUUAAUCUAAAAGGAAAAAAAGGAGAACCUCUGUAAUCAACCCCUGUAUUUUUGUUCUCUCACGGAUGCCAAUAGACUUUGCAGAUUGUUUGCACCGAAAGGAAUCAAGAGAAAUAAACUUCAAUUUAGAGGAGUCACAAGUGAUUGAUGUUUCAUAAAAAUUUCAGUGCAGAUAAAUCAUUACUUCUGUAUGGUUUGCGAAUCGAGACAAGUCAGCAGCGGAGGGAGACCGAAACUGGCAAUGGAAGCGUGAUCAUGGGUUAGGAUGGAAGUGCAUAAGGGCCAUCGGUUGCACCAUUCCGCGCCAUCCCGCCGACGGAGGCCUGUUGCAAAGCUGUCAAAACUCUCGGCCAGCCUUGCCUGUGUGUGCUUGU